rnacentral:rRNA from 1 species
UAUUUAUUGAGAGUUUGAUCCUGGCUCAGGACGAACGCUGGCGGUAUGCUUAACACAUGCAAGUCGAACGAGAAAGUUUUGGUGGAUCCUUCGGGUGACAUUAGAACUGGAAAGUGGCGAACGGGUGAGUAACGCGUGGGUAACCUGCCCUAUGGAAAGGAAUAGCCUCGGGAAACUGGGAGUAAAGCCUUAUA